GCCCAGGGAGGUCACUCUGUGGGGUUACAUGCCCCACCAGGUGGGACGCCAGCCCCGGAGCUGUUCCCUCAGCUCAUUCCCGAGCACUUGAGAACCACACUGUGCAAAGUUUGGAGAGUCCGGGAUCAUAACCUCCACUUUGCCACCAGCUCCCUGAGUGACCUUGGGGAAACCAGCUGCAGCACUCGGCCUCAGUUUUCCUCCUGCACAGGGGAGGAAGAUGGGACAGCGUCUACAGGGUCUGGAGCAAUCAUGGCUCACCGCAGCUUUGACCUCCUGGGCUCAAGCGAUCCUCCACCCUCAGCCUCCUGAGCAGCUAGGACUAUAGUGCCAUUGCUGCAGGAACUACGGCCUUCAGGUUGACUCCAGAUACAGCCUCGCCAUGCCUCUCCCUACCCUUGACUGCAGCAGCACUGAAAUAGCAGCAUGAAUCACUCUGGGACGUCACGUGAUGCACAGGCCAGACGCGGCUGUGGUUGGUCCUCCUGUGUUCCAGGGACCUGGGAGGAGGGCCCUGGCCAGCCAGAGUGGCUGCCUCCCUGUCCUCCUCUGAGUCUACCAAGAGGCUUGGAGAAAACUGAGUUGGUGGAAGUUAUAAGAGCUAACACUUCUGGGUAUUCAGAGGUGGCUUUACUGUAACACUAAAGCAGCUUAAACAUCGGGGACCCCAUUCGUGCUCCUUCUAAAGCCACACACUUCAUUUUUUGUGUGUUUCUUCUCUCAAAGCGAGCUCUCAAAUUGUCAUAAGCUUCAGGUCUGACAAGACUCAAGUCCAACCCGGGAGGAUUAUAUUGUUCACUCUGCAUAGUAACCUUGGGAAGUCAAGGGCACUUCAUCCUCCCCACCUUACAGUCAAGGACACUUAGAGCACAAAAAAGACUUCCUUAGAUUUCUUUAAAAUUCUGGGCCAGGGCCAGGCGUGGUGGCUCACACCUGUGUAAUCCCAGCAC